AAAUGCAGCAUAGCGGUAUCCUGAGUAACGCGGGACACGAGGAAUCCUGCGCGAAUCUGCCGGGACCAUCCGGUAAGGCUAAAUACUCCCGUGAGACCGAUAGCGAACGAGUACUGUGAAGGAAAGGUGAAAAGAACCCCGAGCAGGGGAGUGAAAUAGUUCCUGAAACCAUACGCCUACAAGCGGUCGGAGCAUCUUACGAUGUGACGGCGUGCCUUUUGCAUAAUGAUCCUACGAGUUACCGUCACUGGCGAGGUUGAGUGUCACGAGACACGUAGCCGCAGUGAAAGCGAGCCUGAACAGGGCGCAUAGUCAGUGGGGGUAGACGCGAAACCAAGUGAUCUACACUUGGCCAGGAUGAAGUCCCGGUAACACGGGAUGGAGGUCCGCACCAAUAAGCGUUGAAAAGCUUCUGGAUGAGCCGAGUGUAGGAGUGAAAGGCCAAUCAAACUUGGAGAUAGCUCGUACUCCCCGAAAGGCAUUUAGGUGCCGCGUCGGAUGGUCACCGUGAGAGGUAGAGCGACCGAUAGGACAAGAGGGCUUCACCGCCUAUCGAGUCCUGACGAACUCCGAAUGCUCACGGUCUGCAGUCCGGCAGUAAGGGGGCGGGUGCUAAGGUCCGUCCCCGAGAGGAGAAGAAUCCAGACCGCCGUCUAAGGUCCCGGAGUUCUGCCUGAGUUAGUCUAACGAAGUCUGGUCCCUAUGACAGCUAGGAUGUUGGCUUGGAAGCAGCCAUUCAUUCAAAGAGUGCGUAACAGCUCACUAGUCGAGGGUCCGGGCAUGGAUAAUAAUCGGGUAUAAGGCAGACACCGAAGGCGCGGGAU
rnacentral:rRNA from 1 species